AGAUGCCGCCCUGCACCCCGCCUCCGUCGAGGACUUCAUCCAUGUCCAUGCUGCCAACUCCAUACUCUCCAACCCCGACAAGAACAUCGACUAUGACCGCCGCCUCCUCCUCUCUACUGCCGCCGCUCGCCCUUGUUCCCGGUGCACCGUCGCCAGACCUGGGAGAUGAACUUAGUGCUGGUGACCACCCAUGAUGUGACAACACGCUUCUUCGUUGCAAAAUCUCCGACGUGUGUGCGGCAGGAGCGACACCUCACUACCAACCCCAAAGUCAGGGUCACCAAGGAGAUUAGGGCGGCAGGCAUCCUGGAGAACUUCGAUGAGGGGAAGCAGUACUCGUAGCACGGCUUCAGAAAGUUCAUCAAUAGCACUAUGAAACUGCUGGUUUAUCACUUGAAGAAAUUCAAAACUUUGGGCCAAAAGUGCAAUUUGAAUGUUAGUGCAAUGAUGCAACUCAAGGGAAAGGUUCAUAUGGCCUGUGUAAUGCAAAGACAUAGGUAAAUUUAGAUGCAUACUUCAUUUAUUAAGCAUUACCUAUCUUUUUCAUGAUUGUUUAUGAGACAUGUUUCUUUCCCUGAUGUGUUUUCUUUGUUAUUACUGAUUUUAGUUGCAUUAAAAGGUCCUGUAUAAACUUUCUCAAGAAUGUGAAUGCUAGACUUCAAUCAACAUUGUCCUUUCAUGUGAAAAUUAUUUAACAGAAAUAAUAAAACCUUCUCCUAAUUUGUGACAUUUCAUUUUGUGGCAAGUGAUUUUCAUCGUCUAUCAUUGCACCACAACGUCCGGUGCUAAUAUUUUCUUUUGUGAAAUACCAGCGCAUCUCUGUAUUUAUUGGAUCACUUGAUGGAAAUAUAGAACGAGUCAAGUCGUUAGUCUUCUUUUUUUUUACAUCAAUGUGAUCAGAGUUGGAAUAACAUAAUACAAUUCAAAUACCCACCAGCUUUUUGUACUGGAAAUCUGGGAAGACAGCGCUGGGAGAUUUCCUCUGAUUGAUCUUGGUAUGUUCUUCAUAUCAAUAGUAAAUAAUUUUGCUAUCUAUUUGAACUAAUAGUUGUUUGGACUUUGGAAUAUACAAAUUGGGGGUUGCUUUGGUGAUUUUUAGGAUUAAAUAACUGUGUUGAAUGACUAAUAAAAUUUAUUUCUUAUAUAUUGUUACAAUUCAAUAUAAAAUUCCAUUUGCAUGUUAGUUGUGGAAGCUACAAUAUCUUCAGAAGAACGUAUGGAAGGACUUUUACUUUUCAUUGCAGGUUUAUAAGAUAUGAAAGUAUGCCACAGAAAACAUACUGAAUUCUAAUUUUUGUUUCAUUUGUAUGGGCUGCUGGGGAGCUGGCAGGAAAGGUGCCAAGCUCUGGGUGUUGUCUCGAGCAUUUUUUGGGGGGGCUUUACGUAACAGUCAUUGUCUACAAGGAGAAGUUAUCCAAGAUGGGAGUUUUUUAUGUGGUGGCCAUGGUCGCGGAGUUUGAUGAAUACACCACUGAUUGGCUUUAGCACCGUGAAGGCUGAAGGGCAAUUGUUCAAAAUAUUGUGUUUCUUUUCACUAGAAUAAUUACUUAGUUGUCACUCUAAGAAAAUAAUAAUUGCUGUUGAGAAUAACAUGCGGGUCAUUCUAAGUAUAUACAUAUAAGACAGAGUAGCAAAUGAACAAUUAUUACUUUCUCAGAGUGGCAAAAAAGCAAAUACCUCUUCACUGUUUGAUCUCAACAUCUUGAUAUACUUCAUACGUUGCUUCGUCACUUCCAGUUGUUUCGAUUUUUUGUUAACAAGUAGUCCUUCCUACUCCGCACAAAGUUAUCCUACCGAAGAGAAA